AUGGUCGUGCUCAACACCCCCACGCCGCAUUUAUCUCCAAUGGGUUUGCCGCCACCCUCGGAAGAUUAUGAGCUUGGUCGGACCAAGGAUGGGAAGCUCUGUUUGGUUUGCAUAGAUGACGUCUAUGCAAACAAAGGAACACUUGCUGUUUGGUUUUGUAGAGUUGAUAGUGAUGGUUCGGACGAAUGGAUGCCGCACAAGGUUUUCCCACUGAGUGCUUUUAUUGAUGUCACCAUGUGUUCAGAAGAGUAUGAUGUUAUGGUGCAAGUUGUGAUGGUCUUGGAUGGAUUUGUGUUCCUGUCUGUUAGUUAUGCGAGGUAUACCGAGUGCCUAAUAUCCUUCUGCCUGGAAACAGAGAAUGUAAACAAGCUCUUCACUCAUACAUUGGACUGCAAUAUUCAUCCCUACUUCAUGGUGUGGCCUCCUUCUUUGGUACGCAACGAGGAGGAUUCAGAUACCAAACUUACUAGCGACAAUGUGACAGAUGAUGGCCCCGUGGGCAUAGAAGCAACCCCCUCUGUUUUCGGAUUGUGUGAAGAGAAGACACCAUCUACUAGUUUCAUACACUUGUAG
rnacentral:rRNA from 1 species